GUGCAUGUGGCAGAGCUGGUUUAAUGCACCUGAUUGCUAAUCAGGCUUACGUGGGAAUGCACGUAACAGAGGGUCGUAGCCUCUCAUGCACG
rnacentral:tRNA from 1 species